GAGCAACUGUAACUCACAGGCAAAAAAUUGAACAAACACGGGAACACCUGCAGCAGGCAGAGCUCACCUUUAGAUACCAGCUCGCAGUUCAUGAGAAGAAUGCUCAGAACAACUAGAUCAAGACUCAGAUCUGGGACAGGGAGACGGCGGAGCAGGGCAGGAAGGUCACUUACUUGAAAUACAGACUGGACGGGAUGGAAGCAAAGAGGCUGCCUGAGGGAUACAUUAGGCAGAAACCAAUGGCUGCAAGACCAGAGAUGUAGAACCCUCCAAGGAGAGAGUCUUUAGUAGAUCGAGAAACUGCUGAAACCUCUGUGAGUUACAGUGGCUCUGGCUGUACCAAGAAUGCAGACAAGGACAAGGGGAGUCUGGAUCCUGAGUACCUCCUCCAUUAACUGGACGAUUCUGCAUGCCCUACCCUAGAGAUGCCCUGCCCCCAUGGACUAUUAGGCACAUCCACCUCCUGAACCCUGGUGGCCCUGGGGCCACCUGGAACUCCUCCACCUGCAACACUUGGCUAUUUUGUAUGCAAGAGGGCCUGGUCCUUUCCCAGGAUUGCUUUGCAGGCUGUACCCCAUGGACACCCUUCACUACCAGUCAUGGGCUAUAGGCCACAUCCCUCUCCUCCCCCUACUCUAUUUGUUAAGAUGACCUGAACUGGAUGAGUGGCUGGACAACUCUUUUGAAAUUUGAAGAGGACUGUGCACGGUGACAGACAAUCGUGUUUGUAUAUACAUUUUAAGAAGGUGUCAGAUCUACCUGAAUGCUUUCCCUGCCCAUCCUGUCCC